rnacentral:lncRNA from 1 species
AAAGUUACGAUCCCAAAGCUCUUUAUUUUUUCUUUUACACAUAGUGUAGUAGAAAUUACAUCAAAAGUAAGAAAUUUACAAUUACAAGAAAGAAAAGUAUAGUGUAGUAGAAAUUACAUAAAAAGUAAGAAAUUUACAAUUACAAGAAAGAAAAGUAUAUCUAAACAUGUUAGAAAGUGGAAUUUUUCCUCUUAAACUCAACUAGGAGCAAGCAAUAUGAAACCUAAUAUUUGGUUACAUAUAGUCACUAGCCUAUGG